rnacentral:tRNA from 1 species
GCCUCAUUCGUUCAAUGGACAGGACAGAGGAUUACGAAUCCUCAGAUACAGGUUCGAAUCCUGUAUGAGGUG